UACGGAGGGUGCAAGCGUUAUCCGGAUUUACUGGGUUUAAAGGGUGUGUAGGCGGGCUUUUAAGUCAGUGGUGAAAUCUCCGGGCUCAACCUGGAAACUGCCAUUGAUACUAUUAGUCUUGAAUUUUGUUGAGGUAGGCGGAAUAAGUCAUGUAGCGGUGAAAUGCAUAGAUAUGACUUAGAACACCAAUUGCGAGGGCAGCUUGCUAAACAAAUAUUGACGCUGAGGCACGAAAGCGUGGGGAUCAAACAGG
rnacentral:rRNA from 1 species